rnacentral:rRNA from 1 species
UACGAAGGGGGCGAGCGUUGUUCGGAUUUACUGGGCGUAAAGGGCGCGCAGGCGGCUACAUUUGUCAGGCGUGAAAGCCCCGGGCUUAACCUGGGAACUGCGUUUGAUACGGUGUGGCUAGAGUUCGGGAGAGGAGAGUGGAAUUCCCAGUGUAGAGGUGAAAUUCGUAGAUAUUAGGAAGAACACCAGUGGCGAAGGCGGCCAACUGGCCCGAUACUGACGCUCAUGUGCGAAAGCGUGGGGAGCAAACAGG